rnacentral:lncRNA from 1 species
GGGGGGUCCAACAGAGCCUCAGGCUCCAAUUACUUCAUCGGCUUGUAGCCUGUUUGGACUGGAGCUCCUGCACCCCAUGUCAAGCUGGAAAUUGCGCUUUCUAUCAGCACAGGGACAAGCAAAGAAUGGCAUUCAAUAAUGCCUAAGCUACCGCCCGGUGUGGCAAAGAAGCAGGAAGGACCUAGGCACCAAUUAGCCAGGCAACUGUGGCCAUCAAUCAAGAGCGUCCUGGCUCCCAGCAUGUGGGUCGAGCCUGGCCCUGCCAUGGAAAUCACACUGCAAACCCAUCCCCAGAGGAGGGUUGGGACAGCUAACCCUGCAAAGUGGCAAGGACUAUCAUUCCAGCAAGUUGGUUCAACUCCACAACCUGGAGGGGAAGUCAUUUCCGUGAAGCACUGGUGUGAACAACAGUCACAGGUGGGAAGAGGAAUGGGACAAGGAGGAGGAAGAAGGAAACAGUCCCAUAAUUUUAGAAAGAGUGUGAAAAAAAGAAGUUAGACUUCUAGGUUCUAUUUCUGGCUCUGCCUCUGUUUUCUAGCCA